rnacentral:sRNA from 1 species
GCUGGGCAUGGUGGUGUAUACCUGUAAUCCCAGCAGCUUGGGAGGCUGAGGCAGGAAGAUCACAAGUUCAAAACCAGCCUCAACAAUGACAAGGUUCUUAGCAACUCAAUGAGACCCUGUCUCCU